rnacentral:piRNA from 1 species
CCCGUGCUGAUGCCACGACCGAGGGA